CGUAGUGGCUCGCGUCCUUGCCCCGCGCCUGGGCCUGACCGCGGGCGUCCCCGAGGCCGUGCGAGGCCGUGCGGCCUGCCGACGGGGGACACCGACGCGGUGCCUGCCCCUCCGCGGCCCUCGGGCCAUCCGGAAGUCGGCAAGGAAACACGAGGGCGCGAACGGGAAGGCGCUCGGGUGCGGGAGCACGGCCACGCGUUGGAAGCCCGGAGCACACGGGCCGCCCCUGACGAAGGGCCCACGCGCGGAGGCCAGAGCUGCGCGUCCCUGGGGAGGCGGGGCCGGGCGCGCCACGGCCUGGGUCCCUCAAGCCCCGGGCUGCCUGCGGGGCGCCGGGAGCAGCUCCUUUCCGUCAGGCACAGCGCGGAGGCCGUGCAGCCCCGGGAGGCNNNNNNNNNNNNNNNNNNNNNNNNNNNNGGGGUGCCUCGGCGGGGUCGGGCCUCACAGCGCCUGCCGCAGCCGCGCCGGCCUCGCGUAGUGAGGAGAACCUUUACCGAAGGGCCUUGGCUGGUUCCGCCCGCUCCUCUGCCGUCCCGCACCCGCGGGCCUCCAGCUCCCUUAGGGUUCAGGCCACCCUGGUGCGGGGCCUGGGCCGUGGACGGGACGCGGCGUCUUCCUCCCGCCCGCUCUCUUUUCGCGAGCCCCGCGGCGAGGGAAGGUGCGGGGUGCGCUCCCGGGUCUGAGGGGGCGCUUCCGGUGCGGGGUGCGCUCCCGGGUCUGAGGGGGCGCUUCCGGUGCGGGGUGCGAUCCCGGGUCUGUGAGGGGGCACUUCCGGUGCGGGGCGCGCCCCCAGGUCGGUGUGCGCGGACGCUGCAGCCGCGGGCUCACUUCGCUGCCGAGUCCGUUCCGCGCAGGAGGCUCAUGGGGCCACGAGCCACCGACACGCUCUGCUCUCCUCUCGCGGCCAUCGCCGCGGACCCUUCGGCCCAGGAUCCCGCCUCCCGCUGCCCCACCCGAGGCUCCCUCACCCCUGGGCGCGGGCCCCAAGAGCGGAAACGGCGGGCGGCAGGCGCAUGCGUCGCUGCCACGUGUCCCGGCGGAGCGGCUCAGGAGCCGACGUCGACGCCGUGUCGCUUCCCGCACCCCGGAGCCUACCCGGUGCUUCUGUCCGUCUCGGAACCGCUGCGGAGGAGCCCGCGGCGCGCACCCACCGGCCAGAGCCUGCCUGUCCGCGCCCAGCCUCGGUCCCGCGGACAACGCCGCCGACCGUCCGACUCCUGCACACCUGAUGCCCAGGCCGAGGGCGGGGCCUGCCGCUGCCUUGGACCCCACGGCCCCACGGCCCGCUCCCUGAUGACCGACCUGCCCGCCCGGACGCGGAGACGGAGCCCGGACAGCACGACGCUCCGCCCUGGGGGCGCCACUUGCAGCUCCCGCAGACCACGGGCCCUGGGGGGGGGAUACCUCCAUGUGUUGACCCGGGGGACGGAGAACGCGGACCACAGUGAGGACACCGCUGUGUGCCAACCCAGGGAUGGAGGACGCCGACCACAGUGGGGACACCCUGAGUGCCGACCUGGGGACAGAGGACGCCGACCACACCUGGGACACCCUGUAUGCUGA
rnacentral:lncRNA from 1 species